GCGCUCUUAGUUCAGUUCGGCAGAACACGAGUCUCCAAAACUCGGUGUCGUAGGUUCAAAUCCUACAGAGCGCG
rnacentral:tRNA from 1 species